rnacentral:rRNA from 1 species
CCUACGGGUGGCAGCAGUGGGGAAUAUUGCACAAUGGGGGAAACCCUGAUGCAGCGACGCCGCGUGAGUGAAGAAGUAUCUCGGUACGUAAAGCUCUAUCAGCAGGGAAGAAAAUGACGGUACCUGACUAAGAAGCAGCGGCUAACUACGUGCCAGCAGCCGCGGGAAUACGUAGGGGGCAGGCGUAAUCCGGAGUUACUGGGUGUAAAGGGGGCGUAGACGGCAGCACAAGUCUGGAGUGAAAUCCCGGGGCUUAACCCCGGAACUGCUGUGGAAACUGGGCGGCUGGAGUGCAGGAGGGGUAAGCGGAAUGCCUAGUGUAGCGGUGAAAUGCGUAGAUAUUAGGAGGAACACCGGUGGCGAAGGCGGCUUACUGGACUGUAACUGACGUUGAGGCUCGAAAGCGUGGGGAGCAAACAGGAUUAGAUACCCUAGUAGUC